CAACAGGGAUUGCCCCAGUAACGGCGAGUGAAGCGGCAACAGCUCAAAUUUGAAAUCUGGCUCUCGGGCCCGAGUUGUAAUUUGUAGAGGAUGCUUUUGGUGAGGUGCCUUCCGAGUUCCCUGGAACGGGACGCCAUAGAGGGUGAGAGCCCCGUCUGGUUGGACACCGAUCCUCUGUAAAGCUCCUUCGACGAGUUGAGUAGUUUGGGAAUGCUGCUCUAAAUGGGAGGUAUAUGUCUUCUAAAGCUAAAUACCGGCCAGAGACCGAUAGCGCACAAGUAGAGUGAUCGAAAGAUGAAAAGAACUUUGAAAAGAGAGUUAAACAGUACGUGAAAUUGUUGAAAGGGAAGCGCUUGUGACCAGACUUGGGCUUGGUUGAUCAUCCGGGGUUCUCCCCGGUGCACUCUUCCGGCUCAGGCCAGCAUCAGUUCGCCCUGGGGGAUAAAGGCUUCGGGAAUGUGGCUCUCUCCGGGGAGUGUUA
rnacentral:misc_RNA from 1 species